CAGUAGCCGCGGUAAUACGUAGGUGGCAAGCGUUGUCCGGAAUUAUUGGGCGUAAAGGGCUCGCAGGCGGUUUCUUAAGUCUGAUGUGAAAGCCCCCGGCUCAACCGGGGAGGGUCAUUGGAAACUGGGAAACUUGAGUGCAGAAGAGGAGAGUGGAAUUCCACGUGUAGCGGUGAAAUGCGUAGAGAUGUGGAGGAACACCAGUGGCGAAGGCGACUCUCUGGUCUGUAACUGACGCUGAGGCGCGAAAGCGUGGGGAGCGAACAGGAUUAGAUACCCCCGUAGUCCCUGUCUCUUAUAC
rnacentral:rRNA from 1 species